UGGAUGAGGAUGAAGCAAUUACUAUUAAUCCAACACUUGAUCUGAGAUAAUGUAAUCAUUAUCUGUUGAUGCUACUGUUAGCUUCUGAAUCUAC